AUAGAAUUUAGUUAUUUUAAAUAAAAAAUUACAAAAGAUAGCAAAUUAGUAUAUUCUAAGAAAUUUUUAUCAAAGAUUAUAGUUAAGAAGUAUUGUGAAAGAUCGUUUUAAUAAAAUUAAAAAAAAGAAGUUAUAAGGUAUCGUACCUUUUGUAUCAGGGAUUAUCAAAACUAGCUUAGUAUUUAAAGGUAUUCCCGAAUUAAGAAGAUCUAGAAUUAUAUUAUUCUUUAUAUGUCAUAAUAAUGUUAAAUAUAGUUUUAGAAGUGAUAUGUUAAACGUUUCUUAUUUAUCUGGUUCUUUACGAAAGAAAUUUAAUUUUACAGUUUAUUAAUCUAAGUAAACUAGUUAGAUUGGGGAGCAUGAGCUCACCAAUAAUUGAUUUAUUAAGAUAAGUAGGAGAUUUAUUUUAACUAGGCCUAAAAUCAGCCCUGUUUCUUUUAACGUUAUAGUAAAAAAUCCAAAAAAAAAAAUUUAAAUUAUCUUAUAUGAUAUAGUAAGGUAUAUUAUUUAAUAUAAAAAUAUUAUAAAUAAUGAUAAUAUUAGUAUAGAUUAAGUAAUAAUGUGAAAAAUGUUUUUACAAGAUAAAAACGAAUUUAAGUGACCUAAAGGUAGAGGAAAGGAACUCGGCAAAUUAUACUUCCGCCUGUUUAUCAAAAACAUGUCUGUUUGAAGUUAUAUACAGUCUGGCCUGCCCACUGGGAAACUAAAGGGCCGCGGUACUCUGACCGUGCAAAGGUAGCAUAGUAAUUAGUUCUUUAAUUGAGGACUGGAAUGAACGGUUGGACGAGAAGUUAGCUGUCUCUAAUGUAAAUCUUGAAGUUUACUUUUAAGUGAAAAGGCUUAAAUAAUAUAAAGGGACGAUAAGACCCUAUAAAACUUUACUUCUUGUUUAAAAAGUAGUUGAAUUAAGGUAUAAAUUUGCUUUUGGAAUAAGUGUUUUGUUGGGGCGAUAGAAAUAUAAAUUGUUAACUGUUUUUAAAUCAAAAAUAAUGAUAAUUAGUUUAAAUGAUCCUUUAGUAUGGAUUAUAAGAUUAAGUUACUUUAGGGAUAACAGCGUAAUUUCUCUUGAGAGACCUAAUCGACAGAGUUAGUUGCGACCUCGAUGUUGAAUUAAGAUAUCAUUUAGGUGUAGAAGUCUAAAUAGUAGGUCUGUUCGACCUUUAAAAUCUUACAUGAUUUGAGUUCAAACCGGCGUGAGCCAGGUUGGUUUCUAUCUUUUAUGAAAAAAGAAGUUUCCUUAGUACGAAAGGAUUGGGAAACAGUAAAAUUUACUGAGCCGAUAGAUUAACAUUAAACGAU
rnacentral:rRNA from 1 species